rnacentral:rRNA from 1 species
AAAUAGAACUUUGCAGAGAGAGUUAACAGGGCGUGAAACCGUUAAUUGGCAAACGAAUCGGAGCCACGAAGUCGUUUCGCUGAUUAGUUGGGCCAAGUUCAGUCCAAGAUCGCAAGAUUUUGGGUGUAUUCUUGUAGUCCAACCUAACAUUGUAAACGUACACUGCAACCAGUUAGACGAUUGGCGAUGGGCCCAGCCGUUUGAGCCAGCAGCAGCUUGGUGCGCCUCGGCGUAUUCGAGUUGUUGGGCGCAGGCGGGAGAACUAUCGCCAAACACUGACUGGCAAAAUAAAAAUCACUCGCAGAGUGUUUGAAUAGAACGCGGCCGUCCACAUGGGUGUCCACAUGCUUGACCGUUUGGCUUAAGCUCAGCAUUUUUAAAUUCAAACUUGCUUGCUACCAGUGGGGCAACUCCUGGUGCUUGUAUUGCUUUGUCUAAUUGGGUGUUGACUUGGUUAGGCGUCGUUCGAGCAUGCAACGAUCGGGCGCCUAUGUGAGGUGGUUCGCAAUCAUUGGCAGUGAGUAGGUCGGCUUUCCGAACGACCCGUCUUGAAACACGGACCAAGGAGUCUAAUUAGGCAUCAAGUCGAUCGGUCUUGACUAGGCCAGAUUGGGGAGUUCUCCCCGCUUGAAGGCGUAGAGACAAUCAUGUGAUCGGUGAGCAACAACAGCUUGCGCGCGCAACAUGUGCCUGCUCGUGUGGCAAUGUAGCAAUAAUUGCCGGGCGGAGUAAAGAGAUGCCUGAUUGGUACCCGAAAGAUGGUGAUGCCUGGGCAAAUUGAAGCCAGAGGAAACUCUGGUGGAGGAUUGUAGCGAUUCUGACGUGCAAAUCGAUCGUCAGACCUGGGUAUAGGGGCGAAAGACUAAUCGAACCAUC